UACGUAGGGUGCAAGCGUUGUCCGGAAUUAUUGGGCGUAAAGAGCUCGUAGGCGGUCUGUCGCGUCUGCUGUGAAAACUCAGGGCUUAACCCUGAGCUUGCAGUGGGUACGGGCAGACUAGAGUGCGGUAGGGGGAGACUGGAAUUCCUGGUGUAGCGGUGAAAUGCGCAGAUAUCAGGAGGGAAACACCGGGUGGGCGAAAGGCGGGGUCUCUGGGGCC
rnacentral:rRNA from 1 species